AACAUCGCGCACCUGCGGGAACCUGCGGAAGGAUCAUUAUAGGAAAAUAUAUAUAAAAAACAAGUUGUGGGGGGAACAGUGUGGAGGGGGAGUGUGCAUACUCUGCACUUUUUUUUCGCGCUGUUUUCCCUGCUUCUUCAAACAAACUAUCGCAACUAUAACAGAGAAAAAGGGGGGAAUGUGACUUUUAUUAGUCAAACAACAAAAAAGCUUAUAUCUGAAUUGCUGUAUAUGUGCGCA
rnacentral:misc_RNA from 1 species